UGGGGGGAUAUUGCACAAUGGGGGGAAACCCGUGAUGCAGCGACGCCGCGUGGGUGAAGAAGCGCCUCGGCGCGUAAAGCCCUGUCAGCAGGGAAGAAAAUGACGGUACCUGAAGAAGAAGCCCCGGCUAACUACGUGCC
rnacentral:rRNA from 1 species